UGUAGCUAUAAAAUUAAAAAAAUAAAUAAAUUCUGCCUAAAAAAUAAACAGCAAAUACUAAUAAAAUAUUCAAAAUCGUAAAAACAAAAAAUGCUAAUAAAAUAACAACUAAAUUAGAAACAUUAAUAUAAACUCAAGUGUGAACACGCCAUUAAUUGCUUGCACAGCUGUAAUCGUACAACUUACAUGUGACAGUUCGAUUACGAAAGAAAAUCAAAUAAACAAUUCAGCAAUUUUAGUUCAAACUUUGAUUGCAACAUAAAUGAAAAUGAGAGAUAUAGGCGCAGCAAUAAAAAAGCAAUAAUGAGUGAAAUAAACGAAAAAUGCUUCGAAAAACAUCUGUGCUGUAGAAAUUCACAUACAAUGAUUAACUAGAAAUCCAUAGACUUUUGCUUUCUGACGCCUCAAAGCAAUAAUACAAUUGUGUUUACAACAAUAAAAUGCCAGCAAAAAAAAAAAUACAUAUGGUGGAUUGUAGCUGCUGUUGCAUGCCUUCAAUCAGCAAUCAAGUGAAAGCUAAUUAAAGGAAAAAUCAAGAAAAUGGAAAAGUGAAACAAAAAAAUUGAUGGCUCAUGCAGGCACUUAACGAUAAAAUUUGGAGAAUGAAAAAAAGAACUGGUUUUCUCAUAACGAAAAAGUAAGCAGUUUGCCGGCAUAAAUGUAGGAGCGUCGAGGCAAAUAACUUGAACAACAAUUGAAAUACGAUGAGUGCGCGCUUACAUACACAACGCACAUAUGUACAUGUAUAUCGGGCAAUACAGAAAUCAACAAAAAACAUCAAAAGCAUACUGGAGUAUCAUUAAAUCUGUUCCAUACACAUCAUAAGAAUUUCUCAAUAAGAAACAACAAAAAUCACCAAAGCAUACUGGAGGAGUAUCAAUAAUUCUGUUCUAUACACAUCAUAAGUAUUUCUUCAAUAUUAGAAACCAACAAAAAACACCAAAAGCUUACUGGAGUGGCAAUAAUUCUGUUCUAUACACAUCAUAAGAAUUUCUCAAUAAGAAACAACAAAAAUCAUUAAAGCAUACUGGAGUGUAAAUAAUUCUGUUCCAUACACAUCAUAAGAAUUUCUUAAUAUUAGCGGUAAUGCUACAAGGCUUCAGAGCAGUGAAAAGGUAGCGGUGCCAACGAGGACGGGUCCAUUGGGCGCUUACAUUAGAGUGUGGAAGCCGUCGUGUUGCGCACAUGCACCGACAAGCUGCGUCGCAUAGGCAGGCGAUUGACUCGAACGACAACCGUACCUGAGCGCAGAGACAGCAACUGGUAGCUAGCAGGGCAGCAGAUUUCCUACAUUUCGGUGCCUGCUUUCGAUUUGCUGAUACCGACGCGCAACCUGGCGCACUACGAUUAUGCGCAAUAUUGCCGUUCAUUAUGCGGAGCGCCUACUGAUUUUGGCCGAUGUACCGUAUCUACGCAAGCUGCCCGCUUUGUUGAAGCGCGCUUAGCUAGAGCUGCUGGUGCAGUUUUUAGGCGCACUUCGAGGUGCGUCUACACGACGAGGAGCAGCGCGACUACUGCUUACAUCACCUGCACACUUUUCUGCCAGCGGAACUAACGGAGCUUUUCAUGCGCCUGCAGUACGGUGACACUGGGUAUACUAAUUAUAUGGCGCCGAACGCGACGCGCUCACUAAAGGAAGCGCCAAAUACCAGCAGAGCUCAUCUGCCAUCCGCUAUAUAGCUAAUCGACAACCACGAUGCGAAUUUGCUGAAAUUGUGGCGCUGGUGUACGCACAGCUAACUCAAUGAAGUACUCGAGACGCUGCUCACAGGACGCUGUGAACGCCUACAAUCGCCUGAAGAAGAACGCCAUCGCAUUGCCUAUAGGUAUUUUGCGCGCGCCCUUCUACCACAGCUGUCUGGAGCCCGCGAAAGUAUACGGAGCUCAUCGCGCACGAAGCACCAAGCGGGAAAUGCGGUGAGAACGAGAAUAUCGCCGAUACGGAGGGCCUGCGCCUCGCUAUCGAGACCUACCGACGCAGUGCGAGAGAAAAUGCUACGCUAACGGCGGUGCAGCUCAAGCUGCUUCGCGCAGACGUGUUGCGGCACAAGCGCGUCAACCUCGAUGACGGCGUACCGAUGCGGCAAGCAGAGCCCCAUAUAUCUGCCGUAAAAAUGCAGCAUAUGGAUCGAGGAGUAGCGGAACGGAGCGCGCAGGGCCUAUAAAUUGCUGUACAGCUUUAUAUUGCAUUGUAUAUAUCGUUUUUUUGUAGAUUUCAAUAAAAUUUUGCAUAUAGCAUUUAAAACGAGCGUCGUUUUUGGUUUUUAUCGGGGUGGUGGGGGUGUAGCCUAAAUUCGGUGCACCCGGUAUACCUAAAAAUCCACUAGCAAGGCUACUGCGUGCGAAACGCGCUCAAAAAAGGGUGGAUCGCAUGGGAUCUGUAGUAAAAUCCAGCAAACCAUUGCUGUGGAUCGUUAUUAGUGACCAUUUACACCUAAAAUCGAGGGUUUUUCGUUCGGGGACCGAUAUUCUGAGCAUUCUACCCCAUUUUUUGCCACAAAUCGCUUCAUAAUUCGAUAUACUAGUGUAAUAUGGUCGAAUAAAAUGCUGGGAAGCGAGAUUUCCCCUUUUUGAAGCCGUUUUAUUGCCCUAAAAUGCGGGGGAAAGCAGUAUCCCACUUUUUGUGCUAAAAUUUGGGACCUAAACCGUUUUUGCUACGAAUUUUGUACUAAAUUCUGCAGAUACAGCUGCUGGAAUCCGUUCUAGAUAGCUCGUGCUGCUUCCUAUAGCCUUUUGGAAGCUUUCUAGCCGUGGGAUUUUGCAGAAAACCGGCUUUUGUAGGCUGGGUUUAGGUAAAAUGAGCUCAAAAAGGGUGCUACUGCAUUCAGAACCCCAUUCUGGAAGCAAUUUCUAGUAGAAUUUAGCAGAAAAUCCGCUUUUGGAGCCUGGGUUUAGGCAAAAGCAGCUCAAAAAGGGUGCUACACCCCAUUCUAGAAGCAAAUUCUACUAGAAAUUGCUUCCAGAAUGGGGUUCUGAAUGCAGUAGCACCCUUUUUGAGCUGCUUUUGCCUAAACCUAGCCUACAAAAGCGGAUUUUCUGCAAAAUUCUACUAGAAAUUGCUUCCAGAAUGGGGUUCUGAAUGCAGUAGCACCCUUUUUGAGCUGCUUUUGCCUAAACCCAGCCUACAAAAGCGGAUUUUCUGCAAAAUUCUACUAGAAAUUGCUUCCAGAAUGGGGUUCUGAAUACAGUAGCACCCCUUCUGAGCUGCUUUUGCCUAAACCCAGGCUCCAAAAGCGGAUUUUCUGCUAAAUUCUACUAGAAAUUGCUUCCAGAAUGGGGUUCUGAAUGCAAUAGCACCCUUUUUGAGCUCAUUUUACCUAAACCCAGCCUACAAAAGCCGGUUUUCUGCAAAAUUCCACGGCCAGAAAGCUUCCAAAAGGCAAUAGGAAGCAGCGCAAGGCAUGUAGAACGGAUUGCAGCAGCUACACCUGCAGAAUUUAGUGCAAAAUUUGUACCAAAAACGGUUUAGGUCCCAAAUUUUGGCACAAAAAGUGGGAUACUGCUUUCCCCCGCAUUUUAGGGCAAUAAAACGGCUUCAAAAAGGGGAAAUCUCGUUUCCCAGCUUUUCAUUCGACCAUAUUACACUAGAAUAUCGAAUUAUAAAGCGAUUUGUGGCCAAAUACGAGGAAGAAUGCACAGAAUAUCGGUCCCCGAUCGAAAUACCAUCGAUUUUAGGUGUAAAUGAUCACCAAUAAUGCCCCGCUGCAAUGGUUUGCUGGGUUUUUACCGCUAUCCCCAUGCGAUCUGCCCUUUUUUCAGCGCUUUUCGAGCGCAGUAGCCUUUUUAGUGGAAUCACAGGCAUAACGGGUGCAUCGCUAAUAGGUUUGCGGCCCCACCACCACAAAAAACCAAAAACGACGUUCCUUUUAAAUGCAAUACGCAAAAUUUUAUUGAAAUCUACAUAAAAAACAAUAUAUACAAUGCAAAAUGUAACUGUACAGCAAUUUAUAGGCCCUGCACGCUCCAUUCCGCUACUCUUCGCUCCAUAUGCUGCAUUUGUACGGCGGAUUCAUAGGGCUCUGCUUGCCGCAGCGGUAUGCCGUGGUGAAUUCCUCGAAAUUACUCACCACAUUAUUGACGCGCACGCAAUGCGCAUCGUGCAGAUUAUUGGAGGUUGACGCGCUUGUGCCGCACCACGUCUGCGCGAAGCUCAAGAAGAAUAGCUUCAGCUGCUCCACCGUUAGUGUGGCGUUUUCGCCCACACUGCGUCGGUAGGUCUCCAGAGAGAGGCGCAGGCCCUCCGUAUCGGCGAUAUUCUCAUUCAAUGUCACUUCUCCAUCAUCGUAACGCUCACUGAGGUAGCAACGCGAUUUGGUGCCAAAUUUUAUUAUGGCUUUGGCACCCCAGUUGCCCACCGCAUUUCCCGCCUGGUCGUAAUUGAGGCCGUCAUAAUCAAAGCCAUGCAUCAGCUCGUGCGCGAGGAUGUAGACGAAGCUACCGUAUAUUUUCGCGGGCUCCAGGCAGCUGUGGUAGAAGGGCGCGCGCAAAAUACCUAUAGGCAAUGCUAUAGCGUUCUUCUUCAGGCGAUAGUAGGCGUUCACAUCCAGUGGUCCGUAAUUGUUGUAGGCAGGCGGCGCGCUGCGUCCUGUCAACAGCGUCUCGAGAACUUCGUUCAGUUGGCUGUGCGUACGCCAGCGCCACAAUUUCAGCAAAUUCGCGUCAUGGUUGUCGCUCAGCGUUAUGGUGGAUGGCAAAUGAGCUUUGCUGGUGUUGGCCGCUUGCGGUAGCAGUAGACGCAUUGCGUGCAGCUUCUCCAUACCGCGCGAUUUGGUGAGCGCGUCGCGUUCAAAUACAUUCGUAGCGUUUAAUGCGCGUUCAAAUUGCAUUUUCAGCUGUGAGAAAAUGUCAUUUAAAGCGUUCUGCGUGUGCGCCAUAUAAUUAGCUGCAUCCCCUGUGUCACCGUACUGCAGGCGCAUGAAAAUCUCCGUUAGUUCCGCAGGCAGAAAGCUGUGCAGUUGUUGUAAGCAGUAGUCGCGCUGCUCUUGAUAGCUCUCCUCGUCGUGUAGACGCACCUCGAAGUGCGCCAAAAACUGCACAAGCAAAUAUUUAGCCAGCAACUCCGGUUUAGUGUGCUUCAACAAAUCGCGUAGCUUCCUUAGAUACGGUACAUCUGCCACAAUCAGCAGGCGAUCCGCGUAAUCGUUGGGCAACUCAACGGCUAUAUCGCGCACCACUACCGCGAAAUAUUCGCGCAAAUUCAACUCAGGCAGCUCUGCGGCCAAUGACGCCAGCGUUUGUGGCUCGCGCAAUAGCACCAAGCUCGCGCUAGGCACCAGCUCAAACAGUUGUUUCUCAAAUUCCACCACUUCGCUGGCAAGCGCUUGUGCGCGGCGUACUCGCAUACCCAAAUCCAACAUCAAAUAUUUCACAUACCGUUUGUAUAUGUACUCCGAGUCACUGUCGUAUUGCGCCGCGUUGCGCGUCGGUUUGAGCAAAUCGAAAGCGGGCGCCGAAAUGUAGAAAAUCUGCUGCUCUGCUUGCUGCCAGUUACUGGUGACUAGUAAUCGCCAUAACGACUGCACGCCAAAGCGACGCAGCUCCGCGCUCAGGUACGUGCCCCAGUUCAGUGUGUCGUUCGAGUCAAUCGCCUGCCAAUGGGGGUUCAGCACGGGCCAAUCGCUUAUGCGACGCAGCUCGUCGGUGUAUGUGCGCAACGCGACGGCUUCCACAUCCGAAUGCAAGCGCCCAGUAAAACCGUCCUCGUUAGUAACGCGAUCGACGCAUGCGUUGAAGAAACGCACCGCUACAUUUUCGCUGCGCUGAAGCGUUGAGCGCGUGUCUUUUUGCUCAAGCGCCUCUUGCUUGUCCAAUAGAAACGCCAUCAAUUGUUGUUUAUUAUCCGCUUUGACGGCGCUCAGUGUGUCGUGUGCACCGCGCGCGCGCAAUUGAUAUGGUGCACGCCAAUUACCGCAAGCGUAUUCAUAGAAGUCGUCGCAGGGCCACAUUACAUCGUCCACAUAAUUGUACAUGGUGUCCAGUUGGCGCGGCCAGUAAUCCGCUGCGCAGCUAGGCGGUGUAGCAUUACCGCUGGUAGGCGCGCUUGUGGACGUUGGUGUUGAGGUGCUUUGAUCCGCAUUUGCAUUCGUUGACACGCGCCCCUCUGUUGUCGCAACGGUCGCUGCGUAGACGUCACGAUUUACAUGACCUAGCAAGAGCAAGGUUAGCAGCAUCGUAGAAAAUAACACGCGCCGACAAAUAUUUCGCAUUUUGAUAGCACCGCUCACUUUUACGUACACUUUCACACUGAAUUCACUGUGCGCAUUUCACAGAAACGGAAUUAAAGGCGGUCUAACGCGUCGCUGAGCCACUGAUAAGCGAUUUAUACCGCUCUCAUUGAUGCUGUGUAGCUCAGCAGGCUUUCGCGAAUUGUUUUGUUUUGUAUACUGCUGAGGCAGCACAGAAGCUUAUCGCUUAACUGUAGCCCGUGAGAAUCCACACAAAUAGCUUUCAGCUGAUACGAUUUAUGAUUUUAUAGUGUAAAGUGUAAACAUAAUCAGCCGGAAUAUAGAAAGCUAUAUACUGUAUAUAUAUUUGAAUAUAUAUUGUGCGUUCUUAUCGGAAAUGCCGUGCUCUUGAAUGGAAAUUAGAAUUGAUAUUGAUCGGUGUCUAUAGACUCUAUAAAUAGCUUCUAUAUAACACAGAUCUAUAAUGUUAUUGAGAAAAUAUAUAAAACGGGAGUUUCAGCUUUGGAGUCAUAAAAUAAUUGUCGAUAAAAUUGAAAAAAAAAUUUAAUUAAGCAAAUAGUAAAAGUUAAAUUUUUCUCUAAAUAUGUAAAAAAUUAUGAAAUAAAAUAUAUGUAAAUUGUAUUAUCACAAUAAAAAUUGUAAGGCACAUAAUAAUAUGUGGAUGAAUUAAAAAAUUAA